GGAAAGAGCUGUAGCUCAGUGGCAGAACGUCUGCUUUACAUUCAGAAGGUCCCAGGUUUGAUCCCUGGCAUUUCCA